rnacentral:pre_miRNA from 1 species
UUGGAGGAGUGGAAGGAUAGGGUAAGACUGCGGUUAAGUGAGACUGCUUCAAUAAUUCUUUGCUCUAAUCUCACCAGUCUUCCCUACUCCUCCCAUUCCUGUUGCCUUCAUCACAGUU